AUUUGAUAGUUAAGAACUGAGUUCAGGUCACUGAAUAUAUUUGUCUAUACCUAAUUUGUUGCAAUGUCUGUAAUAUUAUAUCUGAGAAGGGAUGGGAAAACAGCAGCCAUCCAUGUCUUUCAUGAAAGAAAAACCAGAACAAAACAUAUUUACACAAGUGCUGUAGACUUGAAUUUUCAGACAUGUAGUUUUAUGUUAGUUUUGGCACUAAAAAAAAAGAAGUCAAUCAGCCCCUGAAGGAUGAACAUGGACACGGUUUAAUGGAGUCAACAAGAAGAAAUUUAUUUAUAGGUAUUGUAUUUCAAUGUGAGCAAAUGGAGUUCUCAAUAGGACCCUUUGAAAUCUGGAUGAGAAAACUCUGUAUUUUUCUCUUAAAAGUGGAGGGUGAGGCUCCAUUCAAAGUGAUCUGUGCAGGUCUGGCUGCUUCCCUCAUCUGUUCACUAUUGCUUGCUGCUACAGAAUCCUCCAGCACUGAAACCAGGCAAUUUAGAUUCUAUUUUAUCUUAGAAGAGUUUUGCUGAUCCGUGCCAUGUGUUCAUCAGGACUAAUAAGACAGAUAAGUAAAGGACUUUAAUUAUUUCCUGCCAACCCCAACCAAGCUGGUGUUCAAUGUUUGUGUGUGAGGGAUGGGAAGGAGGUACCUGGGUACAAAUUCUGGCCCCAGUCAGCUCAGUGGGGGUUCUGCCAUUUCACUGCAACAAAGCAAAGGCUUCACCACACGUUUCAAAGAAAUAUUUCCCUGGGAUUUUCUGAAUGCUGGUAAAUGUGUUUUUAUCUUCCUUUCCACUUUUGAAUGUUUGUUUACCUUACAUGGCCCUUCAAAGUAAUUUAAUAUAAGAACUUCUCAUCAAUUCCAUUUUAUUCAAAGUUUGAAUUGCCUCAUUUUUUAAUUUCUUGUGCAUUUAAAGACCCCACAUGGCAAUGUCUGGGCUGAAAACAUGUUAGGGGAGCAUUGGAAUAUUUUGUCUUGCUGUGAUUUCAACUGAAUUAAAAGAAACCCAGAAAUGAAAACAUUUCCAUUUGUUUAUGUAACUAAAAAAGCCCUAUAAAAAUGAGCCUGAGCUAGCAAGAAUAUCCUUUCAUGAACACAAACCCUUUUUGCAAGCAGACCACAAACACAGGGACAUACACACACACAUCAACAUCCUAUCUCCCCUAUCAAUGACAAAUCAGAGCAGGUAAAAAUCCUCCCACUAUUUGUCUUAGGAAAUAUCCACCACUUUUACAGGGGAAUUUGGAAAGUAUUUCUGGGGAAGGUGAAAUGCUGCAGCACAAAGCACAGCCAUGGGCACCGCCAGCCAACAGAGGGCUGCUGUAAAACAACCUUUUAAUAAGGCAUUAAAAUGCCAUCGACCUGGACACAUAAAAAAAAAAAACCUAUGAAAACAAAUGCCUUUCAAAUAAUUAGGAUCUUAUGCCUGAGAGCAGUGUUGAUCUCCAUGCAGAGAUUUUUCCUGCUGAAAUCAGCCCAGGUCUGGGGCAGGAAUUAGCAGUGCAUAAAUUGGCACAGCAGCCCUGAGCCAUCCUGCAGCCCUCCCAGCUCCUCCCUUCUGCCCCUAAAUUCUUCUUUCUGUCCCCUAAAGUCUCCUUUCUGCCCCUAAAGUCUCCCUUCUGCCCCUAAAGUCUCCUUUCUGCCCCUAAAUUCUCCUUUCUGCCCCUAAAGUCUCCUUUUUGUCCCUAAAUUCUCCCUUCUGCCCCUAAAGUCUCCCUUCUGCCCCUAAAGUCUCCCUUCUGCCCCUAAAGUCUCCUUUCUGCCCCUGAAGUCUCCUUUCUGUCCCUAAAUUCUUCUUUCUGUCCCCUAAAGUCUCCUCUCUGCCUCUAAAUUCUCCUUUCUGCCCCUAAAUUCUCAUUUCUGUCCCCUCAAGGCUUCUUUCUGCCCCUGAAGUCUCCUUUUUGUCCCCUAAAGUGUUAUUUCUGUCUCCUAAAUUCUCCUUUCUUUUCCCAAAUUCUCAUUUCUGUCCCUAAAUUCUUCUUUCUGCCUCUAAAUUCUCAUUUCUGUCCCUAAAUUCUCCUUUCUGUCCCCUAAAGUCUCAUUUCUGUCCCUAAAGUGUUAUUUCUUCUAAAUUCUCCUUUCUGUCCUUAAAUUCUCAUUUCUGCCCCUAAAUUCUCCUUUCUGUUCCCUAAAUUCUUCUUUCUGCCUCUAAAUUCUUCUUUCUGUUUCUUAAAUUCUCCUUUCUGCCCCUAAAUUCUCCUUCCUGUCCCCUAAACUCUCCUUUCUGUCCCUAGAGCAGCUUGGAAUACUCUUGGCUUAGAAUGCCAGAACAUUUUUUUAAUUGAAUCUCAGGUUUUUAUCAUGAGCAUAUGAAAGGUUGAAUUUGCUGAUUUUUAGGGUGAGCCAGAAAUAGCUGCAAACCCCAUUUCUGGUCUUAAAAAUCUGCUGUGGGCUUGUUUUCACUUCAAGUAAUGUGCUUGCAUUCAUUUAAA
rnacentral:lncRNA from 12 species